GAUGAUGAGGCUGGAGAUGAGGAGAAUGAUGAUGGGGAUGAGGAGGACAAUGAAAGGGACAAGGAGGCUGAGCAAGAAGAGAAAAGAAAACAAGGUGUGAAGAAGGACAUCAAAAAGGACUAUGAUGAGGAUGAGGAUGAAGAAAAGGAAAGAAAUUGGGACUUGAAGAAGGAUGAUGAUGAUGAGGCUGAAGAUGACGAGUAUGAUGACGGGGAUGAGGAGGACAAUGCAAGCGACAAGGAGGCUGAGCAAGAAGAGAAAAGAAAACAAGGUGUGAAGAAGGACAUCAAAGAGGACAAUGAUGAGGACGGGGAUGAGGAAAAGGAAAGAAAAUGGGGUCUAAAGAAGGAUGUUGAAGACGAGGAUGAGGAGGAAGAGGAAGAAAAACAGGUCUGGAAGAAGGUAAAGUGCAUCAAUUUGAUAAAUUAGACUUCCAUAUUUUUGAAGAUGCUAACAUAUUCUUCCACUGUUUCCUUUUUUGCAAUAUUCUUUCAGUCAUCCGAUGGACACAAGGCAAGUUGCAGCUGAUAUUUCAUUAUUUUAGUUUUUUAUGCUAUCUGUUGUUCUGUGUAUAAAGUUCCGAGAAAAUCUGAUUUGGUUUUAUUAAUUGCAGAAGAUUGGAGGGGCACAAAUUCAGAAAGAGCACCCUCCUGAGUGCAAGCAACAGUAGUGUUGGAUCACACUUGCACACAAAUGACAGGAGCAGCUUAAAGAUUGUAGCAUCAUCGGUCCUAGUUGACCAAAAGCUUUAGCUCUCUGGCAUUGACUAUCUAUCUAUCAUCUACAUAUAUCGAUAUGGCCAAUGUUCUUUUCUUUUCUUUUCGUUAGCUAUGCAUUUGGAGUGAAACUGGAAAUAAUGUCUAUCAGUGUAUCUAAUUUAAUGGCUGCUUGAUAUUGUAUGCUAUAUAUAUUGUUGUGUAUAUUGUGUGAAUCAUUGGUCAAUAUGAUGCAUUACUAGCUUAAACAAGUCACUCUGUUGAUUUUCACUGUUGUGAAGUGUGGCAUGGGACAUUUAGGUGAGUUAAAGGAAAAAAUAAUAAAAGGAAAUGCCAUCUAAUUUUAUGAUAAUUAAAAACUCUAACUAGUCAUUCAGAGAUUAUUAGAUAAAAACUAAUUAUAUAUAUAAAAAUAAAAAUAAAAAUUACCCCAAGACAUCUUAAAGAUAAACUACUUCAUGUUUGGAUUUUAUGAUAAAAGUAUUGAUGCAAAUCUCUCUUUAUUACGUGUUCAAGUAACCCUAAUAAAAAUGAUACUUCCUUAAAAAAGAUGAAAAUCAAAUUUGAGAAGUGUGACACAAUAGAAACCUGUCCCAAGACACCAAUACUAUUGGAAUUGAAUCGAAUGACACCACAAGAUCAGUUAUACCUUAAUAAGUCAGAUUUGAUCUUUAUCCCAACAAAGAUAACGUGUUGAAUCAUACAAAACAUAAGUUUACUUCAUAAAUCCAUGACUACUUGAUUUUCAGCAUACAAAACACUUAUAUAAUGCUUCACGUUUGCAUUUUAUGAUAAAAGUACCUUUUAUGUUUCUAUAUAUAUAUAUAUAUAUGGUAAAUGACAACUAAAACCUAAAGUAGUGAUUUGGGAUCGGAACCGACAACAAAGCUUAAUUCUUUAUUUUAGAAUGUAGGUGUACGACCUAAAAGGAUAAUGAAUGUUUAGUUGGACUUUGACUCAUUUUCAUUGGGUAGUUUCAAAAUGAGACCGAAGGCCAUCAUUCGCCAUCAAUAAACCUUGUUAGGAUCACAUUGAUUCAUCCCAAACCUACUCACAAUAAACAAGUUAAUAUAUCCUAACACCUAGAUAUUUCUAAACAAGCAUUCUCAAACAUUGGUGAAAGGAAAGAAAAAGAAGCAUAUUUGCAAACAAAGACUACACCAAUAUUUACAUGUUAUAUAUACACUUUUUUUUUUAUUUAUAAAAAAAGUGUUGUCUCUCUCUCACACACAUAUAUGGUAAAGGGCGACUAAAACCUAAGACAGUGAUUUAGAAUUUGGAACAGGCAACAAGACUCAAUCUUCAUUUUUAGAAUGCGAGCGUUAGACCCGAGAGGAUGAUGAAUAUCUAGUUGGGCUUUGACUCAUUUUUUGGGUAGUUUCAAUGAGACCGAAAGUCAUCACUCAUUCUCAAUGAGUUUUGAUGGGAUCACAUUGAUUCAUCCCAAACCUACUCACAACAAACAAGUUAAUAUAUCCUAACACCUGGAUGUUUCUAAAAAGAUUCUCCAAUAUUGAUGAAAAGAAAGAAAAAGAAGCACAUUUGCAAACAAAGACUAGAACAAUAUAUAUAUAUAUAUAUAUAUAUAUAUAUAUAUAUAUAUAUAUAUGUUGUUGAAUCUGUUAGUAGGAUAGUGGUUUACUAUAUAAUGGAGUAGUAAAUCAAUAGAGUAUUUUCAAGCUAUCCUUAAACUCAUAUCCAAAUUCAUAUUAGAAAAACAAUUUACUUUGAAAAUAUAGCACCUCAAUCAUAUUUAAUUUUUGAAAGAAAGUAUAUACAAAAAAUGAACAUAGAAAAUCAAGAAAUCUUUUAUUUAUUUAUUUUUAACAAACAAUUAAAAAAACAAGAAACAAUUUUUUUUAUAUAAAAAAAAACUCAUGCGAAAAUAUUCAUAUUGUUUUUUUUUUUUUUAGAAAAUUUGUUAAGCAUAGUUUUUUUUUCUUGAAUUAAAGCUCACAUCCAUACAUAAAACGCAUUCACACAAAAAUUUAAACACAUCCAUACACAAAAAUCAAGCAUAUCCAUGAAAAUUAAACAAUCCAGCUAAAUAGUCCAUACAAAUCCAUACACACGAAUCAAGCACAUUUGCAAAAAUUAAACAGCCUAUACAUAAAAAUAAAUCAUUCUUACACAAGAAAAAAUUGUUAAGGAUAAAAAAAAACCUUUAAGAACCUCUAUCAUGGACUAGAAAUUGUUGAAAACAAUAUACCAAAAUGUUGGCAUGUGGGAAUCUUUCACUGGUGUGUUGUCAAGCACUUAGGAUGUUAGAACAUGUACUCCACGUGCAUAUUGGUUGGAUUUUGGGAAGGAAUUUAGGAACUAUUUCUGGCUUGUCUUUGGGUCGAUUAUCGAUUGGAUUUGGGGAAGGAAUUUGGGUCUGUUAGUGAGAGUGAGAGAAGGAGGACUCUUUUUUUUUUUUAUCAAAUGGAAAUUUUAUAGAUCAAAACGAAACUAAGUUAAGCUAGAAACCAACAAAUCUAAAUAUACAGGCAUGUACAUAUAGAGACUAGGAGAACAGGCUCCCUUAGGCAAAAUAUUACAUAGCCUAAGAAUCAAGUACAUAGACAGGGCUGUAGAAAGCAGUAAAACAAUUCAGCAGCACAAACGUUACCACAUGGCCACAACUGGAUGCAUGCCAGCAGACAACAAUAAGGCUUCUCCACUGAAAAGCAAUCAUCCAUGGCGAACAACAAAAACACACAGCCAGAGGAGGGGAGCCCAACUCCAGCAAACCAAAAACCCAGCAGCAGGAAAUAGCCUGCAAACAAGCACUAUAGAGUUCCAACUAUCUACAAGAAGAGGCCGCAGAUAGCAGCAACAACAGCCACUCUAGCAGCAGGGAAAAACCAGUAGCAGUUACAUAAAGGCAGCAGACGAACUUGCACUGCAUAAGCAGUGUAGAAGAACAAGUCAAAGAGAAUGAACAUAUUGCAACAACCACCAAAUCUGCAGGAGCUUAGCUAUCCAAUAUUCAAAGUUUUGAAAUCAAACAAGAUUGUAUCUGUUCUUUAAAUUUUGAACUCAUCAGAUAUACAUGCACAUAUAUAGGACAACAGUUAGCAUUAUCCUUUAUUUAAACCCUCUAUACAUGCACAUAUUAAGCAACAAAAAUACAACAGUAUUCAAGCAUUCUUCUUUAAAGUUUUUGUAAAGUUUUCAUGGUAUCAGAGCCCCUAAAAAGACAAAUGUCUUCUCUUCUCUAAAUUCUAAAUGGCAUUCUCAUCCUCCUCAAACUCCACUGCUCCCGUUAAUGUCCCAACCCUCUCCAAUUUCCCAUUUACUAUUACUGUUAAACUACACUCCUCCAACCAUCAUGUGUGAAAAGCUCAAGCUUUACCAUGCUUUCGCGGUCAUGACCUUUAUGGAUAUCUUGAUGGCACGAUCUCUAUUCCACCAAAAGAAAUCGAUUUCUCUGACUCCACCACAAGUAUCCUUCAAAAAAUUCCAAAUCCUCAGUAUCAACAGUGGCUUCGUCAGGAUUCCGUAAUCCUAGCCACCAUCAACUCCUCCCUCACAGAAGAUGUACCCACUCAAGUCAUGUCCUACACCACCUCACGUGAGGUAUGGCUUGCACUUGAGCGCAAUUUCUCCUCCCUUUCUCAUGCUAAAGUGAUCCAAAUUCGUACUCAAUUAGCCAAUGCUAGAAAAGGUGCAUUGACAGCUAAUGAGUUUUUCCUCUCAAUCAAGAGAAUGGCUGACGAGCUUGCCCUUGCUGGACAACCUCUCACAAAUCACUUAUAUUAUUACUGAACUUGGCAAGGAGUAUGAUUCCCUGGCCUCCACAAUUUCCUCACGGCUUGUUCCUGUCAGCUUGGAGGAACUCUUUUCUCUGCUUCUCAUAUGUGAAUCACGGAUCAAUCAUAAUAAUCAACCCCUUCAAAUUGCCGCUUCUGCCAAUCUGGUCACCACACAACCCCAGCAAUACAACUGCCAACCUGGAACAUUUCAAUACUCCAAUCGUUAUCGGGGUAAUUAUCGUGGUCGGGGACGUGGAGGACAUUCUCACUUUCAUGAUUCCAACCAAUCACAAUCUCUUAUCUGUCAGGUAUGCUUCAAACCAGGCCAUAGUGCUCGCAAAUGCUAUCAUCGCUUUGAUUUAUCUUAUCAGGCUCCACACAACUCCAAGAACCAACCACAAGCACUGCUUGCUGCACACUAUCUGCAACCGGAUAAAGAAUGGCAUCCCGACACAGGAGCCACUCAUCAUCUCACCAAUGACAUGAACAAUAUUCAUGUUCCCCAUACAGGCCAUGAUACACAAGAUCAUGUUCAGGUGGCUAAUGGUGCAGGUCUAAAAAUUGUGCGCAGUGGCACUUCUACCAUAUAUUCUCCCUCUAAAUCAUUUAUUCUUAAUCAAAUUCUGCUUGUUCCUGAUAUUAAAAAAAAUUGUUAUCUGUUCAACGUUUUUGUCUAGACAAUAAUGUUUUCUUUGAGUUUCAUGCCUCUUUCUUCAUUGUGAAGGACUACUCGGGGAAUAUCCUACAUCGCGGCCCCCUCAGUAAUGGACUCUACAACUUCUCAGCUUCAUUAGCUCAUCUUCAGCUGCAAGCUUUCUCUAGUAUUCGUGUGUCUUCCCAAAUCUGGCAUCAUCGUCUUGGACAUGCUUCAUUUCCAGUUAUCAAAAAGGCUAUUUCUUUACCAAUUCCAUAUAAAACUCGCUCCAUUUGUUCUGAUUGUCAACUGGCCAAGAGCCAUGAUAUGCCCUUUAUAAAUAUGCAUGUUACAGUUUCGUAACCUUUAGAAUUAAUAUAUUUGGAUGUUUGGGGGCCAGCUUCUACAUUAUCCACUUCCAGUGCACGUUAUUAUAUUUUUUAGAUGAUGCUACUAAAUUUUUAUGGGUUUUUCCAUAAAAACUCAAAUCUGACGCAUAUCAAACAUUUCUCAAUUUCCAAACUGUUGUCGAACGCCAGUUUGGCAGCAAAAUUAAAGCUUUUCAAAGUGAUUAGGGGGGGAGAAUACCAUAGCUUAAAUACAAGCAUUAACCAUCGAAUAACUUGUCCCUAUACACAUCAACAGGCUGGUGCCAUUGAGAGACGUCAUAGGCAAAUUGUUGAAGUUGGACUUGCCCUGCUUGCUCACUCUAAUUUGCCUCAAAUGUUCUGGGAAGAUGCGUUCUUAACUGCAGUUUUUAUUAUUAAUAGACUUCCCACUCCAAUCUUAAAUCAUAAAUCUCCAUAUGAAAUGGUUCAUCAUCAAAAACCUGAUUAUAAUUUUUUACGCACCUUUGGAUGUGCAUGCUGGCCCUAUUUACGUCCAUAUAAUCGUCAUAAGCUUGAUUUUCGAUCCAAAAACUGCAUUUUUAUUGGGUAUAGUAUUGGUCAUCGAGGCUACAAAUGUCUAGAUAUCUCCACAUGCAGAAUUUUUGUUUCCCGUCAUGUUGUCUUUGAUGAAAAUCUCUAUCCAUACACCGCACCUAAACCACUCAAUCCUUCAUCAAAUACUACUUCUGUUACGCUACCAUCCAAUCUCAAUUUAUCUUAUGCAAGUUCCUCUUUUCUGCAGGUGCCACUCCACCAUCUACUGCAUCAAGCACUCUGCAUAUGGCCUCUUCAUCUGGUCUUCCACGUGAUCAUUGUGUUGAUUUGAUCUUUCCUGCAAUAAAUAUCACUAAGCCUCAAAAUACUGAUAGUCCACCCCAAGUUCUUUUACCCUCUGCCUCUGCUUCACCAACGCAGAAUUGGCACCCAAUGACUACAAGAAGCAAAAACAACAUGCAUAAGCCAAAAUUACCAUCUAAUUCCCACAUCAAAUAUCCCAUUCCUAAAGCCCUUCUGGCCAGAUUCCAAACACCAGAGACAGAACCAACUUGCUACACAGAGGCUGUUAAAAAUCCAUACUGGAGAACUGCUAUGAACACAGAGUUUGAUGCUUUGCUGCAGAAUGGAACUUGGAAUUUGGUUCCCAAACCAUCCAAUGCUAAUCUAGUUGGAUGUAAGUGGGUAUAUCGGAUCAAAAGGAAAGCUAAUGGUGAUAUUGACAGAUUUAAAGCAAGACAUGUAGCCAAAGGUUUCUAUCAACAAGAAGGCAUUGAUUUCAGCGAGACAUUCAGUCCUGUGGUGAAACCAACAACAGUAAGGUUGGUUCUAUCAUUAGCUGUUUCACGUGGUUGGCCUCUUUGACAAAUUGAUGUCCAAAAUGCAUUUCUACAUGGCUACUUACAUAAAGAUGUUUACAUGGCUCAACCUCCCGGUUUUAUUCACUCUCAGUUUCCAAACCAUGUUUGUAAAUUGGAAAAAUCUCUCUAUGGUCUUCAUCAAGCACCAAGAGCAUGGUUUUCACGCUUAACAGAUAAGCUCCAAUCUAUUGGUUUUAUCGGCAGUCAAGCUGAUCACUCCCUCUUUGUUUAUCAUUAAGGUUCCACUCUUAUUUAUUUUUUGAUUUAUGUCGAUGACAUAAUCAUAACUGGAAGUGACAUCGGUUCUAUCAACUGAGUGAUCACCUUGUUUCAGGGUGAUUUUGCAGUCAAAGAUAUGGGUGAACUAAGCUUCUUUUUAAACAUUGAAGCUCUCCACACCGAUAAUGGUCUCUAUGUAUCACAGAGACGUUAUAUUCUAGACCUCCUAAUGCACAACAAAAUGGACAAAGCCAAACCCUGUCUUACUCCAAUGUCAACCUCGCUGCCAUUAUCAAAAUUUGCUGGCGUUGCAUUCCAUUAUCCCUCUUUAUACAGAAGUAUCGUUGGAGGGCUUCAAUACCUUUCAUUUACUCGGCCGGACAUUGCAUUUGCAAUUCAUAAAGUUAGCAAGUUUAUGCAUAAUCCUAUGGAGAUGCAUUGGGCAGCAGUCAAACACAUAUUGUGUUAUUUAAAACACACCAUUUCUCAUUCUUUACUAAUAUAGCCUACUGCCAGUGUUACUUUACAAUCAUUUAGUGAUGCAGAUUGGGUGUCCGAUCCUGAUGACAGAUGAUCCAUUGGCACCUAUUGUGUAUACUUGGGCAAUAAUUUGGUUUCAUGGAGCUGCAAGCAAUAACAAACCGUUGCUUGCAGCAGUACAGAAUCCGAAUACAAAGCACUUGCCAAUGUAGCAGCAGAGCUUUAAUGGAUUAAAUAAGUACUCAAUGAUCUUGGUAUGCCAGCUGUGCAUUCUCCCAUUCUAUGGUGCGACAACAUAGGAGCUACUUACUUAACUAGUAAUCCCCUAUUUCAUGCUCGCACAAAGCAUAUUGAAAUUGAUUUUUAUUAUGUUCGUGACCAGGUUCUUCGUGGACAACUUAAUGUUCAAUUUAUUUCUUCUAAAGAUCAGUAUGCGGAUGCUCUAACAAAACCGCUUCCUUCUGUCUGAUUUCAUACUUUACGUGACAAUCUCAGGGUUCGGUCCCUACCCUUUCGAUUGCAGGGGCGUGUAGAAGAACAAGUCAAAGAGAAUGAACAUGCUGCAACAACCACCAAAUCUGUAGGAGCUUAGCUAUCCAAUAUUCAAAGUUUUGAAAUCAAACAAGAUUGUAUCUGCUGUUUAAAUUUUGAACUCAUUAGAUAUAUGUACAUAUAUGUAGGACAAUAGUUAGCAUUAUCUUUUAUUUAAACCCUCUGUAUAUGCACAUAUUAAGCAACGAAAAUACAACAGUAUUCAAGCAUUCUUCUUUAAAGUUUCUGUAAAGUUUUCAAGCAGCAAUAAAUAGAAGCAAAACAACAUAUAAUAGAUCAACAAAAGCCAACAGAGGUUCAGCUGACCAAGAAAAAAAAGGAGCAACACAAGCCAGAGAGAGUGCUACUCUAGCAAACUAGAAAACCUAGAAUAAGCAGGAGCUACCAACACUCAACAUCAGAGCCAGCUUCCACCGAGGCCAUGGUAAGCACAACUAUCCAGUGCAAUGGAUCACACAUUCGGAUGAGCAUUGCUGGGAACAACCCAAUAGAUGACAUCACAACAAACUUACAUGCACAAUGCUGCAUGUAACAACAACUAGAGAGAAACAAAGCUGGAGACUAGCAAGUUCAAAUGUACAAUAAACACUAAGUAACAAAGGGAACAUGCUCCUUUGAAAUAGUAUUAAAUCCACAUACAGAGAUGCUGUAAAACCAAAACAGGACUACAUAAAAUAUCAUCAAAAUCCAAAUGGAGUCAUAAGGAAGAAGAAGGGGAAACUGAACCCUCAUGCUUGCCCUGAAGCCUAUUGCCUACCAUAGGCCAAACCUUUGCAGAAUCACUGCCUUCAUAGAGAACAACAACAUCAGUCUUCGCAUGCUGACCAACUUUUGCAGUAGCAGCAACCAUGCUACGAGUCAUAUAUUGCUUCCUGCCUCUAGGGGGCUCUCGUCCUGCAACAACAACCACAUCCUGCAUAGAAUCAUCAAUACCAUGCACUAUUUUUGAAGGAGCACAAGGCACAACACCUGGGAGAGAAGGAGGACUUGUCAUGCUUGGUGGAGGGUUGUUGCUUUGGUGGUUAUAUUGUUUAGCUUGCAUUAGAUUACUACCCUGUGCUAUGUUCUAGAUCAAACCAAAACUUUAUUUUAACACAAACAAUAAAAUCAAAGAAAUAAAAAGCAUAGAUAACAAAAAAAGAAGAAGAAGCUCAAGCACGUUGAUCUAAAAGAAACCUUAAUGACAAUAAUAAUUCAAUUUUGAUUUAAGAAAAACAUUCAAGAUGACCAAACAAACUCGUGAUUUUUUUUUAAUAUAUGAAAAAAAUAGAAUUUUAAAAUAUGAUUUUAAUUGAAUUUUCAUUAGCAAUUUAUUAUUGUCAUAUCAUAUACAUAAUAAUUAAAAAAAAAUGAAUUGUUAAAACUCAAAAAAACAAUUAUAAUAUUAUGAAAAAUCAUAUCAAAGUAAAUGAACUAGCAUGUUUUUUUAGUGAAAAGAAGAAGAAGAAGGGGCUCAGGUUCAUGAUAGGGUCUAAAAGGAGAAGGCUAGACGCUUAUUGGCUUGAAGGCUAGGCUCAAGCGCACCUUGAUUCUUUUUUUUUUAAGGCGGAGUACAACAUGUCAUCCAACUUUUUUUUUUAAAAAAAUGAAAUGGAUGACUCGACUUCUAUUGUGACUAAUAACACAUAAUUUUUGCAUUUUUGAACCAAAACAACCCAAUUUUCAACCAAAGUUUCACCUCAAAAUAUCCGAGGACAACCCUACAAACCUCAAUAAACCCUUAUGUGCCCUUUGAUAGUAAGAAGUCAAUUAAAAAUUGAAAAAUCAAAUUGAUAGCACAAAUUUUCCUAAAGCCGGAUAUUUUUUUUUUUGAUAAUAUGAGGAUCCAAAACCAUCACCAACAAACUUCUCUCGUCAAAUGGAUCAUCUUGACAUAAAACUUGAUCGUUUUGGUUGCCGAAAUUAUGACAACCAAACAUUUUCUCUUUCUAAUGCUAUUUUUAAUGGUCUUUGUUUCUCUCUCAUAAACAGACCAAAAUAUAUAUAAUUUAAAUAAAAUUUAAGACCAAAAAAAUGUAGCGAACAUUUGUGGGUAGCCAUCAAUUUUAUUUGCCUUUUACUUUUUUAUCUUUAAACUUUUAAUUUUAUAAAUUUACCAUAAUUUUGAGCCAUAUUCCAUGCAAUUAGGCUUGAAAAUGAUGUAAUUAAAAAAACUUAAAAAACAAAAUAAUUUUUGGACCAAAAUGAACUUUUCCUAAGAAUAUUAGAUUGACCAUUAUAUUUCUCCAUUGUUUUCACUCUAGUGCCCUAUCAUUGAAUUUUUCCAAUCUUUAACAAAAUUGGACAAAUUAGCAUCAAUUUGGGCUUACAAUGAUGUAAUUAAAAAACAAAUUGAGGAAGAAUAAAAAAGUACAUUGUUCGUCAUAGACAUUUUAGUAUAUGUUAUAAUAAGGGAAAUAAAGGAGGCUCUUGUGUUCGAUUUCGAGUGAGAGGAGACAAUGGUUUUGGUCAUGGGCUUAUGGUUUCGAGGAAAUAUGCGUUUGAAAGUAAGAUAGUGGUUGCGGUUUAAAAUACUUUUCACUUGAAAAUGCAUUCAAAUAAUAUUUUUUUUUAAUUUUUUUUAUAUUAGCACAUCAAAACAAUUUAAACACAUAAUUUUUUUUUUAAUUUUAAGCAAUAUUUUAUGUAAUUUUUAAAAAACAUGAUUUUAACUGUUUUUCCAAACAUUACCAAAAAUAAAGAUUGCGUGGUUGGGAGAGGUUAGGCUGGGUUAUAACGUGGGAAGGCAAGAGAGAUAAAGACUAUAGUUGAUUUCAAGUUGUGAGGUUAUGGUUAAGUUGUCAGAUUCCAGCAGUAUUAGAGAAAUGGGAGGAUAUGGUGUAGGCGGCUAAGGUUUGGUUUCAGUAAACAAGGAGAGUCUUUCGUAUUUUUGUUUUUGUUAAAUUUUUUUUUAUAUAUCUCCCUUAUUUUUUUUUUAAUUUCUGUCCUAUUUUUCUUCUUCUUUUCUUUUCUUUUCUUUUCUUUCACUUUCUCUCAUAAUUUUUUCUCUUUUGAUUUUUUUAUUUCUUUCCAUAAAAAAAUUCUUCGUCUUGUUUCUCUCCUCGUCUAUUUAUAAUGUUCCUCCUUAAAUUUAAAAAUCCUAUAAUUGAAUUUAAAAAUCUUUUUAGAUUUUAUUUUUUUUCAUUUUUAAUAUGAGUUUUAAAUUCUUUUUUUUUUAAUUUCAAUUCUAAUUUUUUUUAAUUCCAUUAAUGUUAAUUCUAAACUUUAUAUUCCUUUAUUUUUGAAUUUCAAUUUUAAAUGUUUUUAAUUUAAAUUUUAAAUCCUUUUAAUAUCUCUCAUAAUCUUCUAAACUAUAUUUAGGUCCCUCAUUCUUAUUGUCCCUUUCAUUUUACUCACUAAAAUAUUUUUGUUAGAGAAUAUGCUAGAAAAGAGGUUAAAAAUAAAUUUAAACACUAAGUAGGGAAUAUAAACAACUUCUUAUUUGAGUUAGUUUUCAAUUAAGACUUCUUUUAUUUAGUCCUUUUAUUCUUGAUUUUUUACUAAUUUACCCCUUUACUUUUAUUUGUAAUAUUAUUGACCUUUUACUUUCAAGAUCAUCUUUGUUUAGUUCUUACCGUUGGAAAUAGAGAAGAAAAGAUUUGAAUCCAAUAAUUGAUAUAGCUCUAACUCAAUACCAUAAAUGUUUUCUUAUUAUUCCAUUUAAUGAAAUCUAAGAGCACAUAAACUUCCACAAUCUAGGAAAAACCAUGAGAUCUUUUACUCAUUAAAGCUAACAAUUAAUGACACUGAAAAUUAUAAAUUACACUUUAACACUCCCUCGUAAUUUGUAAUCUUCAUAAACUCUUUGAAUUGCUGAAACUUUUCAACUAGAAUAGCUUUUGUGAGAAUGUUUGCAGGUUGAUCAUUUGUAUUGAUAAACUCCAGUUGCAUCUCUUUCUUGCUCACCAUGUCUUUGAUAAAAUCAUGCCUUAACUCUAUAUGCUUUGAUCGUGCAUGAAAAAUUGGAUUCUUGGUCAUUAUAAUUGCUAACAUGUUAUCACAUAAUAUAAUAGUAAGAUCAAGAACAUUUUAAUGUAAAUCAAAAGAAUUCUCCUAAACCACACUAAUUGAUAUAUUGCUUCAUUUGCAGCAAUGUAUUCUGCAUCUGCAAAAGAUAAAACUAUAGAAUUUUUCUUCCUUAAAUGCUAUGAAAUUAUAUUUGUUCCUACACAAAAUACAUAACAAGAUGUACUCUUCCUAUCAUCACAGCUUCCAGCCUAGUCAUUGUUAGAAUAACCAAUCAACCUGUUAUCUUCUUGUUUCUUGUACAUGAUUCCAUGAUCCUUCGUUCUUUAAAGAUAUCGCUGGAUUCUUUUUGCUGCUGCACAAUGAAGUCGGCUAGGAUCCUCCAUAAAUCUAGAAAUAAUACUUUCUGGGAAUAAUAUAUCAAAUCUUGAAUUUGUGAGAUAAAUUAAAGAUCCAACAAGACUUCAAAAAAAUCAUUGAAUCCGCUUUAGCAGCACCAUCAUUCUAUUGUAACUUCUCAUUUGCUGUAUUGCAGAUGUUACUAGUUUACAUUUUGACAAGUUGAAUUUCUUGAAAAGAUCUGCAACAUACUUUUCUUGAGAAAUAAAAUUUUUCCCUUGAGAUUGCUUCAUUUGAAUGCCAAUAAAAUAUCUCAUCAAUCCAAGGUCUGACAUUUUGAAUUCUUUCAUCAUAACAUCCUUGAAUUCUGCAACCAUAUCUUUACUUGUUCUUGUAUAUAUUAGAUCAUCAACAUAAAGAUAGACCAUUUGAAAGUCUACUCCUUUUUUCUUCAUAUAAAGUGAUGGUUCAAAUUUACUUCUUUCAAAUUCAUUUUGAUGAAAAUAGAGAUCAAUUUUAUUGUUCCAUGCUCUUGGUGCCUGUUUUAAUCCAUAAAGAGCUUUACAAAGUCUGUAAACUUUUUCUUCUUUCCCUUUUAAUUCAUAUCCUGGGGUUGUCUCAACAUAGACUUCUUCUUACAAUUCUCCAUUAAGAAAUGCUGGCUUAAUGUCAAGUUGAAAAACCUGUAAUUGAAGUUGUGCAGAUUAAGUAAGAACUAUUAUGAUAGUUUCCAUUCUUGCAACAGGCGCAAAGGUUUCUGGAAAAUCAACUCCAGGUUGUUGUAAGUAGCCUUUAGCAACAAUUGUAGCCUUAUGCUUCUGAAUACUGCCAUCCUCAUUGUAUUUGAUCUUGAACACCCAUUUUAAACCCACUGCCUUGUUUUCUUUUGGAAAAUCAACUAACUUCCAUGUUUGAUUCUUUUCAAUACUUAUUAUCUCCUCAUUCCUAGCUUUCCUCUAUUCUUUCAUUUUUACUGCUUCUUUAAAAUUCCAAGGUUCACCUGAAAAGAAAGCAACAUGACAAGAGUUGUAAAUGUCAAUUAAUGGUCGAAAUCUCCUUGGAGGAGAUUAUGAGUAUGAUUCUUCAUUAGAACUUGAUGAGUUUCCUUCAUUGUGAGAAUUUGAACAAGUUCCAUUUUGAGAAGAAGAAUUGGAAACAUUAGGCUGCUUUAGAGCUUCAAGUAACUCCAGUGUUGCUGAUUCUGGAUUGACUGUAUCUUCCCAUUUCCAAACUGGAGAUUCAUAAAAAUAACAUCUUUGGAAAAAAGUAACUGAUCCUUUUUAGGAUUGAAAAGUCGAAAGCCUUUUGAUUCAUCAUUAUAGCUAAUAAAGAUAAGUUUCUCCCCUUUCUCAUCAAACUUAUCUCUGUUUUGAGAAGGAAUAAGAGCAUAAACAAUACUGUUAAAUACUUUAAGAUGACUAACAUCAGGCUUUUGCUUAUACCAUGUUUCAAAUAGAGUUUGAUUUCAGACUGCUUUUGUUAGAGAUCUAUUGAGAAUAUAAGCUGCAGUAUUGAUACCUUCAACCCAAAACUUCUUAGGAAGUCCUUUCCCUUAUAAAAUUCUUCUUGCCAUUUCUUCAAUAAUUCUAUUAUUCCUUUCUACAACUUUAUUCUACUGAGGAGUAUGCUGAAUAAUAAGUUGCCUUUGAAUACCAUUCUUUUUGCAAUAAUAAAGAAAAAGCUUGUAAAUAAACUCUCCUCUACGAUCUAUCCUUAGAGUAUUCAUCUGGCACCCACUUUGUUUUUUUACAAGAGUUUUGAAUUGAAAAAAAAAAUAGAGAAUGCUUCUGAUUUUUUAUCAAGCAAAUAAAUCCAUAUCAUUCUAGAAUAAUCAUCAACAAAGAGUAAGAAAUAUCUAUUGUUACUUAUAGAUGGAGUUCGAAUAGGGCCACAAAUAUCUGCAUGGAUUAAUUCAAGAGGUGUAUUGGUUCUCCAGGUUGUCUUUGUAAAUAAAAAACGAUGCAUUUUUUCAUACACAUAUCCUUCACAGAUUCCAGUUUGGUUCUGGAUGGAAAGAAGACCAGAAACCAUAUUCUUUUGCUUUAGCUGUUGCAAGCCAUUAUAAUUCAGAUGCCCAUAUCUGAAAUGCCAAAGAUGAGAUUCAUCAACAUGUUCACUUCUAAUAACAACAUUAUGAAGUGAUUUCAUGUUAAGAGGAAAAACAUUAUUAGAACUCAUCUUGACAAGUUAUUCUCCAAUUUGUUUUCUUAUUAUAAAUCUCAUAUUAUUCUUCAUAAAAAAAUCAGCUUAUAACCUUUUCUCAUCAUUUGUCCUACACUCAACAGAUUCUGACCAAUGCUAAAAAAGUAAAACACAUCAUGAAUAUGUUUUUUUAUUACCUUUAUUGGAGUGGAUUGUAACAUCACCUCUUCUUUUGAUUUCUACCCUCUUACUGUCACCAAGUUCAACAUGAGAAGAAUAAGCUUUAUCAAGAGUUUCAAAGUUUGAGCGAUUACCAGUGAUAUGAUGAUUAUAACCACUAUCAAGAUACUAAACUUCUUCUCCUUUGUGUUCUACAUUCAUGUAAGAAUAGAAUAGUUGAUCUUCUUUCUUUGAAAAGUGUGCUGCAAUGUUCUCUCCACUUCCAUCUUCCUUUUCUUUAUGCCAACAAUUUCUGUCAGAAUGUGAGGAAUUUUUACAUCUAGUACAUGUAAAGAAAUAAUCUCAAGAUUUAUGAGUAGUUCUUUUGUAAAUAGUGCAAUAUAAAUUGCUGCUUCCUCUUAGCUGAAAGUCUAUUCUUCCAUUUCCUCUGUUUCUACCUCUGUCUUUGCUAUAAUUCUGACUUUCACUUGCUCUUCCAUAUGUUUCUUUUCUAAAAAAUGAUCUUCCUCCUCUUUGAUCUUGAUGAAAUCUUGUUGCCUUCCUAUCAGAAAAAUUUGCUUUAAUCUGAAAUGCUUACUCCAUUGGUUGCUUGCUAUACUAGUUUACUCUUUGUUCAUAUGCUUCAAGAGAUCCCAUCAAUUCAUGAAUUGUAAGCCUUGACAUAUCUUUUGUUUCUUCAAUAACAACAACUAUAUGCUCAAAUUUUUGUGGCAAACUUCUAAGAAUCUUCUCUGCAACUCUUUUAUGAAAACCAUUGUCUCCACAACUUUUGAUUUGAUUGAUGAUUUCAGUGGUUCUUGAAGAGAAAUCUUUAAUCAACUCAAUAUCCUUCAUUGUACGAUUUUCAAAUUCUCUCCACAGAUUCUGUAGUCGAAUGGAGAUAGCUUUAUAAGAAUCCUAGAAUUCAUUUUUUAAAAUCUCCCACGCUUUUCUUGCCUUUUUAAUAGAGAAAAUUCUGAGAUAAAUUGAUUUGCUUACUCACUAAAUUAUUCUAAAGGUAGUUGCAUUUCUUUGCACAUUCUGCUUAUAUUCCUUCGUAUUUUUUUUCUGUCCAAGAUGUAGAAGAUCCUGUCUAGGGUGGUUCUUUAAACCCGUCAUCAACUAAUGUCCAUAAAUCUUGUGAAAUGAAGAUAGUCUCCAUUUGAGAAAUCCAGUAUUCAUAAUGCUCUCCAUCGAAGAUAGGAAUCUGCGUUGCGGUAUAGGAGAAAGUAGAGAUACUUGAUGAAGAAGCCAUUAAGAAGAAACCUGCUCUGAUACCAAAUCUAUUGGAAAAAAACUGUAGAAAUAAGGAAGAUAAAGAUUUGAAUCUGAUAAUUAAUAAAGUUAGAACUUAAUACCAUAAAUAUUUUCUUAUUAUUCUUUUUAUUCUGCAGGUUACAAGAACAUAAUAGAGAAAGACUAUAUAACAAGAACUAAUUUAAUGAAAUCUAGGAGCACAUGAACUUUCACAAUCUAGGGAAAACCAAGAGAACUUUACUCAUUAAAAAUAAAAUUAAUAAUACUAAAAAUUACAAAUUACACUUUAACACUUACUAAUUCCAUUGUCCACGCUCUACCACGUGUAUGCAUAUGAAUCAUCCAAUAACUUUGACGACUUUGAUUUUUUCCUUAUGAGAAAACAUGCAUUAAUUUGAUAUGUGAGAUAGUGGAGUAAUAACUUUACUUUGUAUCAUGUUUUUUAAGAUAAUAGAUCUACACAUCGUCAAGUUUCAGGUAGCAAAAUACCUUAGCACAUCACUACGAAAAUUCUUGAAACCGGUAAUUUACCAACUAAAAAGGUUGCAUGGACUCUAAACAAAUUAGUUGCAUCCUACUAUUUAUAAAGCUUCUUCAGCAGCUCUGGUCCAUCAACAUCUAAGAAGUUACAAUAACCUAUAAACCAAUUAGCAAAAUGUAUUGUUUAUGGUUUCAAUACUAUUAUUGCUCGCAGAUCUCUUUGGGACAACCUUAAGUCUUGGGCUCCAGUUGGUCCCUGGACUGUUUUGGGAGAUUUUAACUCCAUUCUCUCCCAGGAAGAUAAACACAAUGGUGACCCUGUCUCAUCUUAUGAAGUCUCUGAUUUCAGAGCAUGCUAUUCCGACUUGGGCCUCUCUGAUUUGAAUUACACUGGCUGCCACUAUACUUGGUCCAAUGGGACUAUUUGGACUAAAAUAGAUCGUGUUCUGGCCAAUCCCUUAUGGUGAAAUCUUCAGCUCACGUCCCAUGUGCAUUUUCACCCUCUGGGUGCUUUCUCUAAUCAAUCAGGAGCUCACAUUCAGAUUGGUAGCAACAGAUCCCCAGGUCGGCGCCCCUUCAAGUUCUUUAAUAUGUGGGUUGAUCACCCAGACUAUGCAGGUUUAAUCUCUGAAGGAUGGCAAUCCCCAGUUGCAGGCACUCCUAUGUUUAUUUUGUGCAGGAAACUCAAGUUUUUGAAGAGUCCUUUGAAGAAUUUAAACAAGCUUCAUUUUAGUCACAUUUCAGAGAGAGUUGUUAGAGCUGAGGCUGAUUUAGAGCAUCAUCAAUGCCUCCUACACAAUUCUAGAGAUGACAUCUCUCUCCUGAACAGAGUUAAUCAAAUGAAGUUGAAUCUCUUCAACCUUAAAUCUGUUGAGAAAACGUUUUUUGCCUAGAAGCUCAAGUGUAACUUUCUUAAGAAAAGUGACAGAGGUACAAGGGUUUUACAUGCUUUGAUGAGUCAUAAGCACAUGAAAAGUUUCAUCCCUGCUGUCCAGCAUAGUAAUAGGGCUCUUACUACCUCUUUAGAUGAAGUUAGAGCUGAAUUUGUUCAUUACUAUCAAAACCUUCUUGGAACUUCAUCGUCUAUUUCUUCUAUUGAUGCUGCUGUUGUUCAUAGCAGUCCUUGUCUUGAUGAAUCCCACUCUAGUUUUCUCUUGGCUCCUAUCUCAAAUGAAGCUAUCAAGGAAACUCUCUUCAACAUUGGUAAUGACAAAGCUCUUGGUCCUGACGGAUUUUCAUCUCUUUUUUUCAAGAAAUCUUGGGACAUCGUUGGGGCUGAUUUUUAUAUGUCAGUUCAAGAUUUCUUUUCUUCUGGUCAAAUCCUCAAACAGAUUAAUCAUUGCAUUAUUGCUCUGGUUCCAAAGUCUACUAAUGUCAACUCAGCCAAUGAUUUUAAGCCAAUCUCUUGCUGCAAUGUGAUUUACAAAGUGAUAUCCAAGAUUCUAGCUGGUAGAUUGUGCCGUGCCUUCCAAGAUAUUUUUAGUCCAGCUCAAAAUGCUUUCCUUUGAGGGAGGAAUAUGAUUGAUAACAUUAACUUGGCUUAAGAGUUUCUCAGGCAUUAUGGCAGGAAGAAAACCUUUCCCUGGUGCCUCAUAAAAAUUGAUUUUAAAAAAGCUUUUGAUUCGGUGCAAUGGGUCUUUCUUAGAGAGCUUCUUCAUCUGCUGGCUUUUCCUUAGCGUUUUGUUCAUCUAGUUAUGUUAUGUGUGGAAACUUCUUCUUUCUCUAUUGCUAUCAAUGGCAACCUAUAUGGGUUUUUCCCUAGGAGGUGUGGAGUUCAGCAGGGUGAUCCUCUCUCUCCCUAUCUGUUUCUAAUCUGCAUUGAAUAUCUCUUACGUAUGCUGAAGAUAGCAUCUCAACAGCCAGGCUUCCAUUAUCACUCGAAGUGUGCAUUUCAUAACAUUUGUCACUUGUUUUUGCAGAUGACAUUCUUCUGUUAUGUCGGGGGGACAAAUCUUCUGUUCAUAUUCUUCUAGAGCAGUUGCAUGUCUUUGGCCAGACCUUAGGGUUACACAUUAAUGCAGGGAGAUCUUUCAUAUAUUUUGGAGGAGUUAGAGACAAUAUGAAGUAGGGUAUCCUUCAAGAUUCUUGUUUUUCUAAAGGUAGCUUUCCCUUCAAAUACCUUGGUGUUCCCCUCAGUCCCCAAAGGCUUCUUGCUAGCCAGUUUUCCCCCCUUCUGCAUAAACUUGAAUCUGCUAUACAAGGCUGGAUGGGCAAGCACUUAUCCUAUGCUGGGCGUCUAGAGUUAAUUAGAUCUGUUCUCUUUGGCAUGGUGCAAUUUUGGCUCAGCAUUUUCCCCAUGCCAGAUAUUGUCAUCAACCAAAUUACAUGCAUUUGUAGGAACUUCUUAUGGACUGGUAACACUGCUAGAAGCAAGUCUGCCUUAGUUGCUUGGAAGCACAUCUGUUUGCUAAAGAAAUGAGGGAUGCCUUGGGCUCUAUGACAUCAUGGCAAGGAACAAAUGUUUCAUUGCAAAGCAGCUAUGAAAUAUUCAUUUAAAAACUAACUCGAUUUGGAUUAGAUGAGUGCACUAUUUUUACUUGCAGGAUAGUACUAUCUGGUUGGUUCCUCUUCAAAUAACCUCCUCUCCCUUAUGGAAGUCCUUAAUUUCUCUUCUAGAUCAGCUCCUUGCAGAUUGUGGGGGACAAUCAGAAGUGAUCUCCAUGAUGCAAAGUUGGGAUAAAAUUUCUGAGCCUUUCUCGGGUUAUGCUUAUGAGUUUUUGAGAUUUAAAGGAACCUCGGUGUCAUAGGUUAAGGUUGUUUGGGAACCUUGGUGUUUACCAAGGCAUAGUUUCAUCCUUUGACUUGCUUUACUUGGGAGGCUGAGAACACGAGACAAGCUGCAGUUUGUUGAUGCUGAUGCUAGCUGCGUCUUCUGUUAGGAUCAUGAGGAAAGCCAUAAUCACCUUUUCUUUUCUUGCAGUUGGACAUCCCUCUUAUGGUCGAAGGUUAAAUCUUGGCUUCGACUCUGCCGAGGUAUGGCCACCAUUAGUAGUGUUGUUCGGGGCCUCAAUCUCAAGGGGAAAAACGCUGUUGCCAAAAAGAAAAGGGUCUCCCUCAGCAUUGUUGCCUACCUGAUAUAGAAAGAAAGGAAUAGAAGAGUCUUUGAGAACUCCUGCACACUGGUUGAAUCUUUAUUUUGGAGAUUUCAGGUUUUAUUUUACAUGAUAUUGCACUUUCAUGAGUGCAAUCACCUUCAAAUUAAUGUCAGCUAACUAUAUUAGUGGUUGUUCUGGAUGAACUUUCCUGUGGGAAGCUGUCUUCUCUUCGGUUCACAGCCUUUCAAGCCGCAUUGCAUAUGUUUCUUGUUGGGCCUUUGUUGUUGCUGUUUCUCUUGAAGAUUUGUUGUGCUGCAUGGUACUCAUGUCUUUUUUGCAUCCUGGUUUGAUAUACUUUUGUGUUUUCUACUCCAAUUGGUGCCCAGACUGUCUACUUGUCUUGACUUUUGCUUUGUAUUAGGUUGGGAACCUUGUAAUUUAUGGUUCCUCACAUAACCAUUGUCUGCUAAUCUUAGCUUGUUAGCUUCCUUUCCUUGGCUUUGAUGUAAAGUUCUAUCAGAGAGUUUGUUCCCUGCUUUUGUAAAUUACUGUAUACAAACUUGUUGGUUCUCCGGCAUUGUAAAUUUUUGAUAUAUUAAUAUACUUACAUUUUAAUUAAAAAAAAUGUAUUCAUUGUUGCUGCCAUAGAAAACAAAUUAUUUCUUUGUAUCAAUGAAAGACUAAAUAGACUAAAGCAUUGUUUAGUUAAGACGAGGCUGAAAACAAAGAAAAUAUGCAACAGUGACUCAAAACGCUGAGCUCAUUGAAAACUUGUUCCAAAUGUACGCUCAUUGCUUAUAAAAAACAGAAGAUCAUCUCAUAAACAUCUUAUUAUUAUAGUUAGUUAGGUAUUUUCUGUUUUCUUGUUUUGGAACCCUAAGGAUGCUGCUGGAACAGUAAAUAUGCAUGAAAAGCAAAGAAAAUGGAUGUCAUAGCUAUGAAUUAGUCAAAGAAUGUGCAGAGCCAAUGCAAAAAACCAUGAGAAAAGCAAUCGAACCAUUUGAUGUAAGACAACACUGAACGAUAAGUCACACAACGCUAUCUAAAAUGAGUCGAACCUUCAUCGUAAAAAAGUAGAUCGCCAAGAGGCAAUGUUUUCAAUAUUCAAAGCUUUCCAAGUAAAAAAAAAAAGAAAUCAAAAGAAGUGCCAAUUUAUAAGAUAGGCAUCACAUCGUCUAAUUAAGCAUAAAUCAAAAUUUUAAAGGAGAAAGGUUUUUCUAAAAAAUACUGCAUCUCUUUCCCUUCUUGUUUUUUUUUUACAAAACUAAAGGCUAGUGUUAGCAAAAGCAUACGUAUAUCUAAGAUGCACGAAAAACUCCAGAGAUUUAAAAAAGAUUUUAAAUCAUAACUGCAUUUUUUCUAGAAAUAUUUGCAGACCAAGACGAAGAAUUAAUAUAAAGAACCACAGAAAAGCUUGUUUGUGAAUGAUUUUAAGGCUACCACAGAACACCUUACUCUAAACAUAAAAAUAAACCAUCAAACAUGUCACACAUAAAUAUAAACUAUAUAUAUUGCUUAGGAUCCAUGUAAAUGUCCUGAUAGGGUUCGUCUAUCCUGGAAGGCGAAAGGGUUUUCCACAACUUGUGUGUUGUGGUGAAAAAUACAUCCAAUUAAAAUUGAUGAAUAUUCAGGAUAAUUCUGAUAAUUUUUGAUAUUUAAAUAUCAGCUUACUUGUAAGUCCAAUAUUUAUACCAGAAUAUUGACCAUUCAUUCUCAUGAAUUAAAAUUUUAUUGGUUAUAGAAAUAUUGGCUAAAUCCUCAUGGAUUUAAUAAACUCAUUAUUAAAUUCAAAAUGUAAGUUAAAAAAAAAACAUAUUAUGUAUUUUAUUUUUUAAACAAGAUAUGAUUUUUGUAUUUUUGAGAAAACUUGGUUGAAUACAAUUUAAAAUAAAAUUGUAUUUUUGAAAGAAAGAUUUUUGUUAUGUAAAACUUGGCCCUUGUGUGAGUGUGUGUGUUUAGCCAUCUAUUUAUAGGUGAAAAUUUUCUUUAGCUUGAAGGCAAAACAAACCAAGAUUAACCAUUGAAUUUCAAGAAUAAAUAUCAACCAUUCAUUUGAUAACUUGGAGACAAAGAAAAGAAAAAUGAACCUUUGUACUAAGAGAAUGAUUGUAGACUAUUUGAUUAAAAAAAUGGGUUGCUUGGUGAGAGAGUUUUCAAUUUUCAAAUUGAUCCUCUCCUUUCCACAAUUAUAAUUAAAUCCCUAAAUAUUAAAUGCAAUUUUUUCCUUUUCUUUUAUUUUAAAUUCUUUGGAAAAGACGUACAUAUUUUUUUUGGGUUUUUGUUGUUUUUUUCGUUAUUUUUUGGUUUUUGUUUUAAAAAACAAAGUAAAAAAUUGGGUAAUAACAAAUGUCCUAUCUUUACAAUACUUACAGAGGAAAAACUUGUUAAGUACUUUGCAUAGUAAGUUUGUAAAGACAAACAAAUUGUUUUUCCAAAACUAAUCUUCUCAAAGCGUCUAGUUCAGUUUACUUGAAACUCUGUUUUCGCAGCAAUUCCCUUCAACCAAAACUACGAUCAAACUAUGUACAUCUUGGUUGUCCUAAAAUCUCAAUUUGUCAACUCUCUUUAACCAAAACCAAAAUCUUUGCCAAAAUUUCAAUCAACAAUUUGGUGAUCCCUUUUAACUAGAAUAAAAAUAUAAAACAGCUCGGCAAACUUGAAAUCUCAAUUUGGCGAUUCCCUUUAACCAGAACCAAUAGCUUGGUUAACUUGAGAUCUCAUUUGGCGAUCCCUUUUAAUUAAAACCAAAAUAUGAAACAUCUUGGCUAACUUGAUAUCCCAAUUUGGCGAUUCUCUUUAACCAAAACCAAUAGCUCGGUCAACUUGAGAUCUCAUUUGGCGAUCCCCUUUAACCAGAACAAAAAAGUUACCUUCAGCUUGGUUAACCUGAAAUCUCAAUCUAGAGACCCCUUUUAACCAAAACCUUAGUCUUUAUCUCCAACUCGGUCAACUUGAGAUCCCAUAUGAUGAUCCCCUUUAACCAGAAUCAAAAUGUUGCCUUCAACUCGGUUACCCUGAAAUAUCAAACUAGAGACUCUUUUUUAAUUAGAACCUUGGUCUUUAUCUUCAACUCAGUCAACCUAAGAUCUUAUCUAGCGAUCCCCUUUAACCAGAAUCAAAAUGUUACCUUUAACUCAAUUAACUUGAAAUCUCAAUCUAGAGACCCUUUUAAACUACAACUUAGUCUUUCUCUUCAGCUCGGUCAACCUAAAAUCUCAAUUUAGCAAUUUCCUUUAACUAGAACCAAUAGCUCGAUCAACCUGAGAUCAUAAUCUGAUAAUUUCCUUUAACUAGAACCAAAAUCUAAAAAACAACAGAUAAACUGAAAUCCUAAUUUGGCGAUUCCCUUUAACCAAAAUGAAAAUGUUUGUCUUCAGCUCGGUUAACCUGAAAUCCCAAUCUAGAGACCCCUUUAACCAGAACUUUGAUUUUUAUCUUUAGCUCGGUUAACUUGAAAUCUCAAUCUAGAGACUCCUUUAGCCAGAACUUUAGUUUUUUUCUUCAGCUCGGUCAACCUGAAUUCCAAUUUGAUUAUUCCUUUUAACUAGAACCAAUAGCUCGGUCAACUUGAGAUCCUCAUCUAGAAAUCCCCUUUAAUCAGAACCAAAAUGUUGCCUUCAGCUUAGUUAACUUGAAAUCUUAAUCUAGAGAUGCCUUUUAAUCAAAACCUUGGUAUUUGUUUUGAUCUCGGUCAAUCUGAGAUUUAAUCUGGUGAUCCCUUUUAACGAGAACUAAAAUAUUAUCUUCACCUUAGUUAACCUGAAAUCUCAAUCUAGAGACCCCUUUUAACUUGAACCUUGGUCUUUGUCUUCAGUUCGAUAAACCUGAGAUUUCAAUCUAGCAAUUCUUUUUAACUAGAACCAAUAGCUUGGUUAACCUAAGAUUCAAGUAUGUUAUUAAAUAUCAUGGGAAGGUACUGUAUCCUAUUUUUCUCCUCGAAACUAUUUACACUUUUUUGUUCACAUGGAUUUUUAAUACUAUCCAGUCAAGAUUUUACCUUGGGGAAGUCGGAAAUGGGGCUGCAAUGAAACUUAUUGUCAACAUGAUCAUGGGCAGGUUCUACCAAGUUCCUUUGUCAAUUGUUUUCUGUUUUGCUUCUGUGCUGGAUUAUAUUGUGACACCUGGUGUUUUCAACAAUUUGCAGUAUGAUGGCAACCUUUUCUGAAGGGUUGCUUCUCAGCGAGAAAGGAGGACUGGACCCAAAUGUACUGGUUGAGGUAUUUGUGAGCAGAGAAAAUCUUGUUAGAUUAUGUCGUGUCACUUGUCAUCAAACCCCAUGAAGAUUAACUGAAUUCAUACUCUUGUUUGUUUUUUAUUGGAUUAUUCUUGUUCUUUCUAUCUCAUUCGAACAUGCACAAUGAUAAUCAUUGCUCUGCCGUGCUCUGGAAAAUAAAUGAAGAAACUCGUUGAUUUUCAGUCUGUUUUAUUUCUUCGUCUGCGUUUGUUUGUGUAAGAGAGAGAGAGAGAGAGAGAGGUUCUGAAUGAUGCUUAACUAAAAUUCCUUGGUCAAAAUGAAUCAAGGUGUUGCACCCUUCUUGUUCAAUAACAGCACUUAAUGGAAGAGUACAUCCAAAAUGGACCUCAUUUGUUAGGUGUUCUGGCUUGAAAAACUCUUAAAAUUAAAGCGUGCACUCUUCUUCCUUGUCUUUGUUGGUAAAACUAAAAGCCUCUAGUAUAUAGAAUGAUGUUAUCUUUUUUAUUUUAUUUUAUUUUGUUGUUUUUGAAGGCAUCUAUUGAAGCCUCGUAGGAAUCUUCUUACAUAGGUGAAGUUGCAGGUAGUGUCACUGGGUGCCAUUAGUGCACCGAUGUAUUCGCUGAAAGGUCCAUCAAUGGUCAAAUCUCUAUACCCCACUGCUUUUCCCUUAAAGCAUCAGCAGAAGGUUUGUAGAUAUUCUAAAUUGCAGACACUAUUUAAAUCAACGCUGUCAUCUCAAAAAUGAAGUCAAUGGUUUCAGGACAUGAGACUUGCCCUGGGAUUAGCAGAAUCUGUUUCCCAACCACUCCAUUGCAGCAGCUGCAAAUGAACUAUACAGGUAGCAAAAGUCACGGGCUAGCGAUAGUGAUUUUCAGCAGUGAUUGAGCACUCAAGGGAAAGUGCAUCCUGAGCAANNNNNNNNNNNNNNNNNNNNNNNNNNNNNNNNNNNNNNNNNNNNNNNNNNNNNNNNNNNNNNNNNNNNNNNNNNNNNNNNNNNNNNNNNNNNNNNNNNNNAGCUCGAGUUUUCUUGUAUGUCAUCAUCACCAGCUUGUGGUCUUUUUUCUGUGUUAAUACAAGUCUGUCGGAAAAAAACUGCGGAGUCCCUAAACUAGACUAUUGAUAGUUUCUGAACAAGGAAUUUACCAUAAUUAAUAAUUGAUGGACAAAUUCAUUGCAAAAAACCACAAGGAGUAAUUUAUACUUUACUUAAAGAAACAAUGCACAACACGAAACAAGAUAAAAGAAUCCUAUCUAUACUUUACUUAAAGUGGAAAUCUAUUCUAAACUCCAAAGUGACAUGAGUGAAUUUUGCUUUGUCCCAGAUGAAAAAUUGGUAUUAAUUUCAUCCUGAAGCUGAUCCUUCCUGGCUUUACUUGACAGUUAAACUUGAAAUCGAUUCCAAUGGGCUGUAUGCUCGAACCCCUUAACAGCAUCAGAUAGAUACCAAAGUCAUGACAACCAGAAACACAUCACUUUCUCAACUUAUAAAUAAAAACCUGUAAGCUCACAUCGACAUCUCCUUCCCUCAUAAGAGAAAACUAAACUCACUUUCCCUCCUUUUCUAGGCUAUUUUAUUUUCCCAUCCCCCAAACAUUCCCGUAUGAGUAACUAUAACAUGAAGGUGUCAUCGUCUCCCAAGGUCAGCAAACACGUGGAGUGUCUCAGACAUCUUCAGGUUGGUGUAUUUACUUACUUUCUACAAGAAACAUUGUGCUGUUUAUGUUUUCAUAAGCUUGUGUUAUUUUAUAGCCCAGUUUUCAACAUUUUUGUUAAGUUUUAUUACAUGUAUAGAUGAUCAUGACAUGCUUAAUUACAUACGCGAAUUGAUGUAUUCUGCAGAGCCAACAUGAUGAGCUGGAAGCACAGUUCCUUGAGGAGAGAAAGGCAUUAGAAGCUAAAUACAACAAGCUUUAUCAACCACUAUACACUAAGGUAUGUAUUGUCUUUGCAUUAAUACUUCUGCAUGUGUUACGUGAAUGUUGAAUCAGAGGUAGCAUGCAUUGCAAUUUGUUCCGUAUUAAUGUAAUUAAUUUAAGUUUUUUAUGGGCUCUCGGCGCAGAGAUAUGAGAUUGUGAAUGGUCUAAAAGAAGUUGACGGGGUUAUGUCUGCUGAAUUAGAUAGCAUAAAAGAGGAUCAAGCUAUAGAAGGUAUUAGCGUAUAUUUUUAACAGUAUAUCUUGUUUUUGGCAAACAUACAUGGAGUAUUUGAAAGCAAUGCCUUAUAUUGAAAUUAAGAGUAUAGUACUUCUUCAAUGCAGAGAAAGGAGUGCCUGAAUUCUGGCUCACUGCAAUGAAAACUCAUGAAGUACUAGCAGAGGAGGUAUGCAAGGCGUGCUCACAUAUGCACACAUAUAUUUCUUCCUUUUGGAUUCAUCACUGUGUAAUGUGAUUUAUCAAUUGAUUCUUGCAAUAGAUUAAGGGACAAGAUGAAGGAGCCCUAAAGUUCAUAAAAGAUAUCAAGUGGUCGAGACUUCAAAAUCCUGAGGGUUUCGAGCUGGAGUUUUACUUCAACCCUUGUCCUUACUUCAAAAAUUCUGUCCUGACAAAGACUUGUCACGUAAUUGAUGAAUCUGAUCCUAUUUUGAGUCAAGCAAUUGGGUAGUUAAUUAUAUUAAUGUUGUUGUGCUGAGAGUUUUGAUUCUCUUCCUUUCUAAUUUUCCUUCUUAUAAUGUUUCAUCUGAUUUUUUAGUUCGGAAAUUGAAUGGUAUCCUGAGAAAUGCUUGACGACGAAGGUUGUGAAGAGGAAACAAAGAACGGUGUCAAAGAAGACCAAAACCACCAUGACAAUUAAGAACUGUGAAAGUUUCUUCACAUUCUUUAAUACUUCUCAGAUCCCUGAGAAUGAGGAUGAGCUAGAUGAUGAUGAUGUAAGUUCCCCUUCGUUAUGUACAAGGAAAGCAAUGUAACUGUUGAUAUGUUAAUUGAUGUCGUAGUCUCUUGUGUUCACAGUAUGAUGAACUUCAGGACCGGCUAAAACAAGGCUACAAUUUAGGGUAAGUCCCACAUUCUUUAUGUGAACUUCAUUGGGUCUAUUCUGUGCAUCUCUCUCUCCUUUUCUCUGAUAUGGACUUGUUUUUGUGGAUGAUAGUAAUAUUAUUCGGGACAAAAUCAUUCCACAUGCUGUGUCAUGGUUUACUGGAGAGGCUAUCGAGGAAGAUGAGUUAGAUGGUAUAGAUUAUGAUGGCAAUGAUGAUGAUGAUGAUGAUGAUGAGGAUUAUGAGGAUGAUGAUGGGGAUGAGGAGGACAAUGAAAGGGACAAGGAGGCUGAGCAAGAAGAGAAAAGAAAACAAGGUGUGAAGAAGGACAUCAAAAAGGACUAUGAUGAGGAUGAGGAUGAGGAAAAUGAAAGAAAAUGGGGCUUGAAGAAGGAUGAUGAUGAUGAUGAUGAUGAGGCUGGAGAUGAGGAGAAUGAUGAUGGGGAUGAGGAGGACAAUGAAAGGGACAAGGAGGCUGAGCAAGAAGAGAAAAGAAAACAAGGUGUGAAGAAGGACAUCAAAAAGGACUAUGAUGAGGAUGAGGAUGAAGAAAAGGAAAGAAAUUGGGACUUGAAGAAGGAUGAUGAUGAUGAGGCUGAAGAUGACGAGUAUGAUGACGGGGAUGAGGAGGACAAUGCAAGCGACAAGGAGGCUGAGCAAGAAGAGAAAAGAAAACAAGGUGUGAAGAAGGACAUCAAAGAGGACAAUGAUGAGGACGGGGAUGAGGAAAAGGAAAGAAAAUGGGGUCUAAAGAAGGAUGUUGAAGACGAG
rnacentral:lncRNA from 1 species